rnacentral:rRNA from 1 species
UAGGGAAUCUUCGGCAAUGGACGGAAGUCUGACCGAGCAACGCCGCGUGAGUGAAGAAGGUUUUCGGAUCGUAAAGCUCUGUUGUUAGAGAAGAACGUUGGUAGGAGUGGAAAAUCUACCAAGUGACGGUAACUAACCAGAAAGGGACGGCUAACUACGUGCCAGCAGCCGCGGUAAUACGUAGGUCCCGAGCGUUGUCCGGAUUUAUUGGGCGUAAAGCGAGCGCAGGCGGUUCUUUAAGUCUGAAGUUAAAGGCAGUGGCUUAACCAUUGUAGGCUUUGGAAACUGGAGGACUUGAGUGCAGAAGGGGAGGGUGGAAUUCCAUGUGUAGCGGUGAAAUGCGUAGAUAUAUGGAGGAACACCGGUGGCGAAAGCGGCUCUCUGGUCUGUAACUGACGCUGAGGCUCGAAAGCGUGGGGAGCAAACAGG